GAUGAACGCUGGCGGCGUGCCUAAUACAUGCAAGUCGAGCGAACAGACGAGGAGCUUGCUCCUCUGACGUUAGCGGCGGACGGGUGAGUAACACGUGGAUAACCUACCUAUAAGACUGGGAUAACUUCGGGAAACCGGAGCUAAUACCGGAUAAUAUAUUGAACCGCAUGGUUCAAUAGUGAAAGACGGUUUUGCUGUCACUUAUAGAUGGAUCCGCGCCGCAUUAGCUAGUUGGUAAGGUAACGGCUUACCAAGGCAACGAUGCGUAGCCGACCUGAGAGGGUGAUCGGCCACACUGGAACUGAGACACGGUCCAGACUCCUACGGGAGGCAGCAGUAGGGAAUCUUCCGCAGUGGGCGAAAGCCUGACGGAGCAACGCCGCGUGAGUGAUGAAGGUCUUCGGAUCGUAAAACUCUGUUAUUAGGGAAGAACAAAUGUGUAAGUAGCUAUGCACGUCUUGACGGUACCUAAUCAGAAAGCCACGGCUAACUACGU
rnacentral:rRNA from 1 species